UAAUCUUUUCAAGGGAAAAACAAAAAUUUUUGGAAACUUAGAAGAUUAAAGCUCAUACCAAUUUGACAUGACGAAAUUCGAGUUAAAGCCCAUACUUGUAAGAUCCAAUUCCUCCAUUGAUAGAGAACUCUCGAGCAACUCCGGUGGGUGAUUACCACCCAAAUUCCAAAACUUACAACCCAAUUGAAUACAAUUGAAUUCUUGUUUGAAGAACCCAGCUACGUGGCUUAAAAGAUAAUUAAAGUCAAGCCACACUUCGGCAUGAUUUUUCUUUUCUCGGGUCUUGAUCUCUCGGUCGCUCUCGACUCUCUCAGUCUCUCAUAUGCUGAAGGCUGAAGAGAGCAAACACAUAGCAAGUCGAACAGUGAACAAUGGAGAGCAGUGAAGAAGAGGACGAUCUCCCACUCAUAGAGAGCAUCACUCCCCAGUCCAAAGUCGACUUUCUUUAUCAAUCCCACGCCUAAAAGGGAAUUAUAACCUAUACAUACUCGUAUUUAUCUCCCGCUUUUGCUGUGACAUGCGCUCAGAACUGGAGCCUGGAGCCUGGAGCCUCAAGUCUGAAGCCUGAAGAGAGCAAAGCUAAAGCAGUCGUAAAAUGGAGAGUAGUGAAGGAGAAGAGGUUUCCUAUCAUUAAAGGCAUCACUCCCCAGUCCAAAGUUGACUCUUUUUACCAAUCCCACACCGAAAAGGUUCUUCUUCUGCUUCCCUCUUAGUUCACUUAAUGAUAAAUUGUUGGACAUCAGUAAAACACUAUGCCUUUACUCUUCCUCCAACUUUUCUCUAGUUAUCAAAGCUUGCACAUUUGGGUAUCACAUGGUGUAUUCCAUUCGGUUUCGAUAAAUUAUUUUGGACCCAGUUUCGAGCACUUUGAGCUGUUUGAGAGCUCGCAAUUUUAAAUUAACCAAAGAUGUUGAGUCUGAUACUUUUUCAACUGAAUUUGUUUCUUUAUUACAUGGGUUUUCAGUUUCUUUGAGUAUGGAUUGUACGGAACAGUUGUAUUUGCCAUCUGGGUAAUGUCUAUCUUUUUCAUUGUUUUUUAUUCAUUUUCCGUCCUUUUCUCUUCCUUUGAAAGUAUAGCUUUAAUCUCUCGAUUCCUUAUGGGAUGCAAUAUGUGAAAUUGUAAGUUGUUUGCUCUGGGUUCUGUUGACAUUUAAUUACCUCUUGUUGAUAGAUUUUGGAUCAUUCAUUGUCAGACUGUCCAGUGACUGAGGAUAUAAAUUUCAUCUGAUCAGGUUUGCUCCAUCCACUGAUCCAUCACUAAGUAUCCAGUUUUAUGAGCAAGCUCCAGAGCAACAAUCAGUGCUAGGGUGUGUUGUUGACUCAUCACAAACAGGACUUGCUCAUGAUGUAGCAUCAACAAAUCCAAUUGGUCCUGACCAGGAGCACAGAGUACCUCAUGGUUCCAUUGGUGCAGCUUUGUUUCAAUACUCUGCACCAUAGCAGGUGAUGAGUUCCCAUCAACAUGCGGAACUUGUACUGCAAAAUGUGAGACUCGAAUGUUUGUCACCCGUAUCCUUUGUGUCUCUUUACCCUUUAGAUUGUGAAAUAAGUUGCGAAAUUCUGAUGCUUGUGGUUACCGCAAUUCUGAGUUGAAGCCUGGUGGAAGAAUUCCAGAUAAAGGGAAGAAAAUUACUCUUUGUGUGAAGAAUGUAGAUCUUAGUUGUGAUGUCAUAAUGUCGGAUACUGCAGGUGUGAAAAUUCCGGAGCUUUAUUAGGAGCUGGCUAGUG